rnacentral:rRNA from 1 species
GAUAAACGCUGGCGGCGUGCUUAACACAUGCAAGUCGAACGAAGUUUUUCUUUCGGGAGGAACUUAGUGGCGGACGGGUGAGUAACGCGUGGGUAACCUGCCCUGUACAGGGGGACAACAGCUGGAAACGGCUGCUAAUACCGCAUAAGCCCUUAGCACUGCAUGGUGCAUAGGGAAAAGGAGCAAUCCGGUACAGGAUGGACCCGCGUCUGAUUAGCCAGUUGGCAGGGUAACGGCCUACCAAAGCGACGAUCAGUAGCCGAUCUGAGAGGAUGUACGGCAAAUUGGGGAAUGAGACACGGCCCAGACCCCUACGGGGGGAGGCAGUGGGGAAAAUUGCAAAAUGGAGGAAACCCGAAUGCAGGAGCGCCGGGGGAGGGAAGAAGUAUUUCGGUAAUAAAAGCCCUAUCAGAAGGAAAGAAAAUGACGGUACCUGACAAAAAAGCACCGGCUAAAUACGU